UACGGAGGGGGCGAGCGUUAUUCGGAAUUAUUGGGCGUAAAGGGCGCGUAGGCGGCCUGGCAAGUCAAAGGUGAAAUCCCUCGGCUCAACCGAGGAAUGGCCUUUGAAACUGCCUGGCUAGAGGCCGGGAGGGGGUAGCGGAAUUCCCAGUGUAGCGGUGAAAUGCGUAGAUACUGGGAGGAACACCAGUGGCGAAGGCGGCUACCUGGACCGGUUCUGACGCUGAUGCGCGAAAGCGUGGGGAGCAAACAGGAUUAGAAACCCCCGUAGUCC
rnacentral:rRNA from 1 species